UUCCGGUUGAUCCUGCCGGUAGGACAUUGCUAUUGGGAUUCGAUUUAGCCAUGCUAGUCGAGCGAGUUCAGACUCGCGGCGAAUAGCUCAGUAACACGUGGCCAAGCUCCCCUUCAGUCAGCGAUACCCUCGGGAAACUGAGGUUAACAGCUGAUACAAAACGUUUGCUGGAAUGCGGCGUUUCAGAAAGAUCACGCUGAAGGAUGCGGCUGCGGCCGAUUAGGUAGACGGUGGGGUAACGGCCCACCGUGCCAGUAAUCGGUACGGGUGAUGAGAGUCAGAGCCCGGAGACGGAAUCUGAGACAAGAUUCCGGGCCCUACGGGGCGCAGCAGGCGCGAAACCUUUACACUGCACGGAAGUGCGAUAGGGGAAUCCCAAGUGCGAGGGCAUAUUAGCCCUCGCUUUUCUCGACUGUAAGGUGGUCGACGAAUAAGAGCUGGGCAAGACCGGUGCCAGCCGCCGCGGU
rnacentral:rRNA from 1 species